GCCUUCGUGGUGUAGUGGUCUGCACGCUCAGCUCUUAAUUGAGAGGUCCGCGGUUCGAUUCCCGGCGAAGGCG
rnacentral:tRNA from 1 species